rnacentral:rRNA from 1 species
GACGAACGCUGGCGGCGUGCUUAACACAUGCAAGUCGUACGGUAAGGCCCUUUCGGGGUUACACGAGUGGCGAACGGGUGAGUAACACGUGAGUAACCUGCCCACAACUUUGGGAUAACGCUAGGAAACUGGUGCUAAUACUGGAUAUGUGCUCCUGCUGCAUGGUGGGGGUUGGAAAGCUCCGGCGGUUGUGGAUGGACUCGCGGCCUAUCAGCUUGUUGGUGGGGUAGUGGCCUACCAAGGCGGCGACGGGUAGCCGGCCUGAGAGGGUGACCGGCCACAUUGGGACUGAGAUACGGCCCAGACUCCUACGGGAGGCAGCAGUGGGGAAUAUUGCACAAUGGGCGCAAGCCUGAUGCAGCAACGCCGCGUGCGGGAUGACGGCCUUCGGGUUGUAAACCGCUUUCAGCAGGGACGAAGCUUUUUGUGACGGUACCUGCAGAAGAAGCACCGGCUAACUACGUG